GGGCAGGCGUGCAGAGUAAGUUGGAGCCGAAAUGCCACCAAAUCCCGGAGGGUAAGAAAUCCUCCUUCUUCUCUGUGUGUAUCCGGUCAUGUCCCUCUUCCGAGUCCCGAAGUCCUGCCUUGAGAUUGUCCAGUGAAGAGGGUCGUCUCUGGAUUCUGGACCAUACCAUUUUCUACCAAGCUCUGAGAAUGGGUAUAAACAAAGUGACUGCUCGGGGAUGACCUUGGGGAUGACCUUGGGGAAGAUACAGGGAGCUCUUCCAACGUUUGAGAUUCAGAGUUUUCAGUCUCCUCAGCUUCUGUGGUCUGCCCACUGCCCACGAGGGCUGCUCUUGAAACUUUUGUCCAAGUUCAUGUCCAUUGGAUCGGUGAUGCCAUCUCAUCCUCUGACCCCCUUCACGGAUCACUGCCUUAUCAUGGCUAAAGGACUUUUGUAACUCAAUGGAACUAUGAGCCAUGCCAUGUAGGGCCACCCAAGAGGGACGGGUCAUAGUGGAGAGUUCUGACCAAAUGUGAUCCACCAGAGGAGAGGAUGGCAAACCAUCCCAGUGUACUUGCCGUGAGAACCCCAUGAACUGUAUAGAAAGACAAUGUGAGUCGGACCAUAUAGAAGGCUGAGCACCAAAGAAUUGAAACUUUCGAAGUGUGGUGCUGGAGACGACUGUUGAGAGUCCUUUGGACUGCAAGAUUAAGCCAGUCAACCCUAAAGGAAAUCAACUCUGAAUAUCCAUUGGCAGGACUGAUGCUGAAGCUCAAGUUCCCAUACUUUGGCUACCUGAUUUGAAGAGUUGACUCAUUGGAAAAGACUCUGAUGCUAAGAAAGACUGAAGGCAAAAGGAGAAGGGAGUGGCAGAGGAUGAGAUGUUUACAUAGCAUCAUUGAUUCAAUGCACAUGAAUCUGAGCAAACUCUGGGAGAUGGUAGAGGACAGAGGAGCCUGGUGAGCUGCAGUCCAUGGGGUCAAAAAGAGUUGGACAUGAUCUGGCAACUGAUCAACAACAACAAUACUAGUUGAAAUACAUCAAGAAUUUCAUGUUUUUCUUCUCAUAAACGGUUC
ensembl:lncRNA